rnacentral:rRNA from 1 species
UACAGAGGUGGCAAGCGUUGUUCGGAAUUACUGGGCGUAAAGGGCGCGUAGGCGGUUCGUUAAGUCCUGUGUGAAAUCCCCCGGCUCAACUGGGGAACUGCACAGGAAACUGGCGGGCUUGAGUUCGGGAGAGGGAAGCGGAAUUCCGGGUGUAGCGGUGAAAUGCGUAGAUAUCCGGAGGAACACCGUGCGGAGGACGGGCUG